rnacentral:rRNA from 1 species
UAGGGAAUCUUCGGCAAUGGACGAAAGUCUGACCGAGCAACGCCGCGUGAGUGAAGAAGGUUUUCGGAUCGUAAAACUCUGUUGUUAGAGAAGAACAAGGACGUUAGUAACUGAACGUCCCCUGACGGUAUCUAACCAGAAAGCCACGGCUAACUACGUGCCAGCAGCCGCGGUAAUACGUAGGUGGCAAGCGUUGUCCGGAUUUAUUGGGCGUAAAGCGAGCGCAGGCGGUUUCUUAAGUCUGAUGUGAAAGCCCCCGGCUCAACCGGGGAGGGUCAUUGGAAACUGAGAGACUUGAGUGCAGAAGAGGGGAGUGGAAUUCCAUGUGUAGCGGUGAAAUGCGUAGAUAUAUGGAGGAACACCAGUGGCGAAGGCGGCUCUCUGGUCUGUAACUGACGCUGAGGCUCGAAAGCGUGGGGAGCAAACAGG